rnacentral:ncRNA from 1 species
CCCAUCGCUAUAUUGUUGGGACUUAUGCGGAAUAACCACCGCGUACCCAGGAGAACUGGGAUUGGACUCCUAUAAGGAGAAAACAAAUG